rnacentral:lncRNA from 1 species
CCUAUAAUGGCGUUGAAUUCCAAAAAAGUGACAGGCGUUAAUCUGACGGCUAGCGAAUGCCAUUUCAGGUGUCAGCGGCAGAAAAGACAUCAGGCAAUUUGUUCAAUAUGGUUGGGGGCCGGAAGGGGUGGGCCAAGGGUGGACCAGAGCAGGCCCAAGGGGGUGACCCUCUUGUGACAACACCGCACUCCACCAGCAAGGAUGCAUGAUUUUGCUCCUCGUAUUUUGAUCAGGGUCUACUGUUGCGAGGUCAUCCUGCAUGCGCAGUUGUAGCUUAAGCGACCAGUUAUCUGUCAAUCACAUCGGCACUGUGCACAUUGGCAAUUCAAUUGCCGCAAUUGUUUUGCAGGACAAUAUAGUUUUAGAACAGCCUGUGAUCUGAGAUGGGAUUCGCAUUCUGCCAAACUUGAACCGUUAGCUACCGACUACCCAUCAUUUGCUUGGUCUGGCGUAUUCUAGCUUCCAGUGCAAUGCUGAUACGGUAUCAGUUACUAAUCAUAAUAUCAAAUUUA